rnacentral:lncRNA from 15 species
GAGGUAAGCAAGCAAACAACACCUCAGGGUUGUUGCAGUCCCUCAGUUUAGGGUAUUAAGCCUAAAAUCCCUUGCUGUGGCCCUGCUCUCACCUCUCACCAUCCUUUUCUCUUUUCAGUUUGAUCUGGUUUGUGACAAGAGUGGUUUGACUGAGGCAUCACAAUCCAUCUACAUGACAGGUUUUCUGGUUGGAGCGCUGGUGUUCGGGGCAAUUUCUGACAGGUUUUGGGAGACGCUUAGUCUUACUCUCCCUGUCUCUCCUACUGUUGUUUGAUGUGGGUGCUGCUUUUUCACCAAACAUCUACUGUAUGUUUACAUGGUCUUAAAAUUUUUCUGUGGGAGUUCCGGAGGUGUCAUCAUAAUGAACACAUCUGUGAUGGUUCAGGAUUCUCCCAGAGUCAGCUCACUGGCUCAUGACCCAGGGCAGGAAGGACAAAGGCACAAAAGGAGCUCCAGAGGGCAGCGAGGGUGAAUGGACGGACAGUCCCAGACGAUCUGCUAGACAAUAAAAUGGGCCUACAGGGACCUAAGUACACAUUGAACAAAUACAAAUGAAUAAAGCUGUUAUUUAGCUGUUUAUUUGUCAUAAUC